GUGACAUAUACCUGCAACUCGUGAGACGUCGCAGAAGAGAACUGUUCUUGCUCAAUGCUCAGGGGUCAAGAGAAAGUUUGUCUAGAUUAUGAGUUCCUUGACUUGAAGCUUUUUUCAUUUCAAGAGCUCGUUUAUACGGUGGUGCAAUCGGAGGUUGUACAGGAUCUAAACAUUGAUAGGUUCCAUCUGCAGAUUUAGGAAGCGGAUAUGAACGAUCUGAAUCAUAUCCACUCAGGUCUCCGCAAGCCAGAAAUGGGAUAUACACCUUGUUACGACCUUCAAGCCAUCCACUACUGCAAUCUAAGUCCUCAGCGCCUGAUGGACUUCCAACUUGUUCAAGAAGGCGAUAAAGGUCUUUCUCAUUGAAUCCUUCAGGUGGAGAGUAGUUUUCACAAACUGCAAAUGCCUCUAUG
rnacentral:misc_RNA from 1 species